AACGAACGCUGGCGGCAUGCCUAACACGUGCAAGUCGAACGAGACCUUCGGGUCUAGUGGCGCACGGGUGCGUAACGCGUGGGAACCUGCCCUUAGGUUCGGAAUAACUCCCCGAAAGGGGUGCUAAUACCGGAUAAUGUCUUCGGACCAAAGAUUUAUCGCCUUUGGAUGGGCCCGCGUUGGAUUAGCUAGUUGGUAGGGUAAAAGCCUACCAAGGCGACGAUCCAUAGCUGGUCUGAGAGGAUGAUCAGCCACACUGGGACUGAGACACGGCCCAGACUCCUACGGGAGGCAGCAGUGGGGAAUAUUGGGCAAUGGGCGAAAGCCUGAUCCAGCAAUGCCGCGUGAGUGAUGAAGGCCUUAGGGUUGUAAAGCUCUUUUACCCGGGAUGAUAAUGACAGUACCGGGAGAAUAAGCUCCGGCUAACUCCGUG
rnacentral:rRNA from 1 species